rnacentral:lncRNA from 1 species
AGUACCAGGCAGGCUGUGGAGUAAGGAAGGACCACAGCAGAGUAAAGCAAUGGAGACCGAGGUCUCAGAAACCCUCAGGGAAGUUGGCAUUUUAACUGGUCUUUGAAGACCAGAUGAGGAAACUGAGGCUGAGAGGGUAGAGAACUUUGCCUGAGGUCACUCAGCAGGGACCCACCCAUCACAGUAAAUGCCAGCACUGCUGAUGCCAAAACAAUGUUAUUUGUAGGCCCUCGGAAUUUGUGACCUGAAGGAAGAAGAGCAGGGCCGUGGGAAGUAUGUAACCAGUGUCAUGCCCCUGGUCCCAAGGAAGCAGUGGCUUGGUAAAGAGGGGACCCCCGUCAAUAACUCCCUGUAAUUACUGGGCACCCACUCUGAGCUCCUCAGUGGAAUCCUAAGGUUAAUAAGACUGUCUCUAGCCACUGGGGCUCCCAGCCUGGAGUGAGGCCUGAACACCCUGUCCUACCUGGUCCUACCUGGAUGCUGGCCUCAGUAAGCUCCUGGGCUCAUUGAAGAUGAACCUAGCAGUAGUAUUUACACCACUUGUUGUGUGCCCACUGUGGGCCCGGCGCCAUGCCGAGUGCUCUAUGGAUGUGAGUGCUGGGAGAGAAAAGCAUACGACAUAGACAGGGAGGUCAAGCUCCACCACGCAGAUGAGGUGCAGGCCACCAGUCUUCCUCUGCCACAUCUCUUUCUGAAAAGGACUUCACAUUCACCCUUGCAAUCCAUGUGGGGACACUGUUGGAUAGGAGGCGUGGUCCCAGCGUGGUCUCCCUGUCUGGGCCUCUGCCUAUGCCAAAUGUUUGCCUUACGCUGCACACUCAAGAGGUUCCAUGUAUACAGAUGGGAAUUCCAGAGCUACAGAAAAGGCAGCAAGCACCAUGAUUUAAGCUAACCAGUGUGGAUUCACACCUUCCUCUCUCUCUAUCAGUGGCAGAACUACCAGCUAGAGUAAGAAGUGGUUGAUCCAGGACCUAAACAUUCUGGAAACUCUUGCCCACUUCUGGGAGAAAUGACCCAAUCCAUAGUACUAAGCACACCUUAACUUUCGUAGGACGCAGGCAAGUUGUCAUACCGUGUGCCUAAAUAUAGAAAAAUGAUCCACUGGACUAAUAAAGUGUUAAAUAAAAUA